GAUGAACGCUGGCGGCGUGCCUAAUACAUGCAAGUCGAGCGAACGGACGAUGCGCUUGCGUCUUUGAUGUUAGCGGCGGACGUGAGAGUAACACGUGUAUAACGUACCUAUAUUUGUGGUAUAUUUUCGGGAAUGCGGAUCUAAUAGCAGAGAAGCUUUUGAACCGCGUGGUUGAAAGGUGAGAUUCGGUGUUUCGGUCUGUACUAGAGGCAUAUGGGCUUCAUUAUCUAGUUGGUAAGGUAACGGGUUACCAAGGCAACGAUGCAUGGACGAGCUGAGAGGGUGAUAGGCCACCCUGGAACUGAGCCACGGUCCAGACUCCUACGGGAGGCAGCAGUAGGGAAUCUUACGCAAUGGGCGAAAGCCUGACGGAGCAACGCCGCGUGAGUGAUGAAGGUCUUCGGAUCGUAAAACUCUGUUAUUAGGGAAGAACAUAUGUGUAAGUAACUGUGCACAUCUUGACGGUACCUAAUAAGAAAGCAACGGCUAACUACGUG
rnacentral:rRNA from 1 species